UUUUCUAAAAAAAUUUGGUCUGGGAGACGACGGCAGUGGGAGGAGAAGGCUCUGGAGAGAGCGGGGCGGACAGCGAUUCCCUUCGCCAUUGAGAUCUAGGGUCAGGGUUUCUGGCUUCUCGGAUCGAUCGGUUCUGGUCCGAGGUGAUUUUGUGGGAGGAUCCGGUGAAGUCUGGAGCUCCGAGGUUUUGAGGAGCUUGGAAGGUUUAUGUAAAUAUGAGGCUGGAUUCGACGGUAUUUUAUAGCUUUGGUCCGGGAUAAAGUAUCUGGAGGGAUGUCAGAUCAUGAGG